rnacentral:rRNA from 1 species
GACGAACGCUGGCGGCGUGCCUAAUACAUGCAAGUUGAGCGCUGAAGGUUGGUACUUGUACCAACUGGAUGAGCAGCGAACGGGUGAGUAACGCGUGGGGAAUCUGCCUUUGAGCGGGGGACAACAUUUGGAAACGAAUGCUAAUACCGCAUAAAAACUUUAAACACAAGUUUUAAGUUUGAAAGAUGCAAUUGCAUCACUCAAAGAUGAUCCCGCGUUGUAUUAGCUAGUUGGUGAGGUAAAGGCUCACCAAGGCGAUGAUACAUAGCCGACCUGAGAGGGUGAUCGGCCAAAUUGGGACGGAGACAAGGCCCAAACUACUACGGGAGGGAGCAGUAGGGAAUCUUCGGAAAUGGACGAAAGUCUGAACGAGCAACGCCGCGGGAGGGAAGAAGGGUGUCGGAUCGUAAAACUCGGUUGGUAGAGAAGAAAGUUGGGGAGAGUGGAAAGCUCAUCAAGUGACGGUAACUACACAGAAAGGGACGGCUAACUACGUG